UUGUAAAGUACUUUCAGUCGUGAGGAAGGCGGCGUCGUUAAUAGCGGCGUUUGUUUGACGUUAGCGACAGAAGAAGCACCGGCUAACUCCGUGCCAGCAGCCGACGGUAAUACGGAGGGUGCGAGCGUUAAUCGGAAUUACGUGGGACGUAAAAGCGCAUGCAGGUGGUUUGUUAAGUCAGAUGUGAAAAAGCCCGGGCUCAAACCUCGGAAAUUGCAUUUUAGAAAAACUGGCAGACUAGAGUACUGUAGAGGGGGUAGAAUUUCAGGUGUAGCGGUGAAAAUGCGUAGAGAUCUGAAGGAAUACCGGUGGCGAAGGCGGCCCCUGGACAGAUACUGACACUCAGAUGCGAAAGCGUGGGGAGCAAACAGGAUUAGAUACCCUGGUAG
rnacentral:rRNA from 1 species